rnacentral:lncRNA from 1 species
AAAGAGUUCCUGAGUGUCUCCUCUGGGCAGGUUCCUCACGAAGGGAAUGAGAGUUGGGUAAGUGAAAGACACGUGAAGGUACGUGAAGAAGGCCAGGGUGGCUGGAGCACGAAGAACAAAGGGAAAAAGAGCACAAAAUGAGCCAACAGAGAACUUGGUCUGCAUCUUGCCAAGGAGAAAGACAUGUAAACAUGUCAGUAUGGUUGACCCUUGAACAACACAGGUUCGAGCUGCGCAGGUUCACUUAUACAUGGAUUUUCUUUCACCUCUGCCACCCCUGAGAGAGCGAGACCAACCCCUUCUCUUCCUCCAUCUACUCAACAGGCAGAUGAUGAAGAUGAAGACCUUUAUAUUGAUCUACUUCCAUUUAAUGAAUAAAUUCUGUCUCAAGAAACAGAGUAUGAGAGAGGAGGACAGCAGAGGGACUGCUAG